CCGCAGCGCGCAGGGGCGCGGCGGAUGCUCCCACCGAGCGAGCGGCCCCGCGCGGGCACCCCCGCGCUCUUGCGCCCCCCACGGCGGGCACCCCCCGGGUACCUUGCGGCGGCGGCGAGCGGGCGGGCGCCGUCAUCCCCGCGCUUCCCGGCCCCGAGAGGCACUCGAAAGUAUGUAGGAGAAAAGUUUCCCCUCCCACAUGGGGGGGGGAAGCGAGGGCGGAAGAUGGAGAGCCGCGCUGGGAAGAUGUUUCUGGCCCGCGGUGCGCGCACCAUCCGAGUCCCCGGCGGUGCUGGUUAAAAAUAAACUCGGCGGCGCGGGUCGGGCCGGAUUCCUGCGCUCGGACGGCUAAUAUGGAUGCGCAUCAGGUCCCGCUGGCGGGGCGCUGCGGCGGCUCGCGCUGGGAGCUGGUUGGCAGAGCCGGCGGCUCGGCCAGGGGAAAGGAGCGGAGGAAGGGGAGGAGGAGGAGGAGGAGGACGAGGAGGAGGAGCAGCAGCCGCAGCAGCAGCCGGCGCGCAGCCCGAGGGGAGAGGGCUGCCCCGCUCAUCACCAGCCGGCCCGGGGUGCGGCGUGGGGCGCGCGGGUCCUCCGCUCCGGGGACGCGCCGAGUUCCCAAAACUACAGCGCUCUGCAGACGUCGCCCUCCCCAUCCCCAAAAAGUUCUUUAAAAAAAAAAAAAAAAAGUCGCUCCGGCUGUGGCCCAGACAUCUCGCUCGCUGCCACCCCCCGAGUCCCGCAAGCCGAAACCCCCGGGGCGCGUACUUACGGCCGCGCUGGGCGCUGGGCUCCCCAGGCAUGGUGCGGUGGGGACCGGUGGGGCUUCGGGGGCGGGGUGAUGGGGGGGCAGAGGACGACGAGAGAUGCAAACUUGUUCCGGAAAAGGAAUCAAAAUGGCGUUUCUGGAUGUGCAAAGUUCAUCAACUCCGCAGUCACUUCCCCUCCUCCUCCUCCUCUCCCGCAGGGAGGGCGGUGGGCGAGGCUCGCUCUCCCCCUCUCGCCCUGAUAAGUAGACACAUC
rnacentral:lncRNA from 1 species